rnacentral:rRNA from 1 species
CCUGAACGCUGGCAGCGUUGGUUAAGACAUGCAAGUCGCACGGGUGUAGCAAUACAUCAGUGGCGCACGGGUGAGUAAUGUAUAGCUAACGUACCCCUUGGACCAGGAUAGCUACCCGAAAGGGUAGGUAAUACUGGGUAAUAUAACCGGAAGGCAUCUUCUGGUUCUCAUAUGACGCAAGUCGCCUUGGGAUCGGGCUAUAUCGUAUCAGCUAGUUGGUAAGGUAACGGCUUACCAAGGCGACGACGCGUAGCCGGACUGAGAGGUCGGUCGGCCACAUCGGGACUGAGACACUCGCCCGGACUCCGUACGGGGGGCUGCAGUAACGAAUCUUCCCCAAUGUACGAAAGUAUGAGGGAGCGACGCUGCGUGGAGGAUGAAGUCCUUCGGGAUGUAAACUCCUGUCAGGGAUUACCAAGUUCUGAGGAAUCCCAGAGGAAGAGGCGGCUAACUCUGUG